rnacentral:RNase_P_RNA from 1 species
GAAGUUGAUUGAACAGUCACUGUAACAAUAAUUAUUGCACACAGAGGAAAGUCCGGGCUCCAUAGGGUAUGGUGCCAGGUAACACCUGGGAAGAGCAAUCUUACGACUAGUGCAACAGAAAAUAAACUACCUAUUACAAUAUAAUUAUAUAUAAUUUUAAUAGGAAAAGGUGAAAUGGUGCGGUAAAAGCGCACCGCAAAAUUGGUAACAAUUUCGGCACGGUAAACUUCCACCAGGAGCAAGGUCAAGAAGGAGAAUGUGACCCGCAUAUUACUCCGGGUAGACUGCUUGUGAAUUAAUAAGUGAUUAUUAAUCUAGAUAAAUGACUGUUUUAAACAGAACCCGGCUUAUAAAUCAACUUCAUAA